rnacentral:rRNA from 1 species
CCUACGGGGGACAGCAGUCGGGAAUAUUGCGCAAUGGAGGCAACUCUGAAGCAGUGACGCCGCGUGCAGGAUGAAGGCUUUCGGAUUGGAAACUGCCUUUGACAGGGAAGUAAAAAGACAGUCCCUGUAGCAUAAGCUCCGGCUAACUCCGUGCCAGCAGCCGCGGUAAUACGGAGGGCGCAAGCGUUAUCCGGAUUUAUUGGGUGUAAAGGGUGCGUAGACGGAGAAGCAAGUUAGUUGUGAAAUCCCUCGGCUUAACUGAGGAACUGCAACUAAAACUACUUGCCUUGAGUGCUGGAGAGGAAGGUGGAAUUCAUGGUGUAGCGGUGAAAUGCGUAGAUAUUAUGAGGAACACCAGUGGCGAAGGCGAGUGUCUGGACAGUAACUGACGUUGAGGCACGAAAGUGUGGGGAGCAAACAGGAUUAGAUACCCUUGUAGUC